CUCUCUUCGAGAGAGGAUUACUUGUCCCAAAAUGCAAUUCUCCACCUGUAGGCUCCCUAGUUACUAUCUCUAUGCACUGGAGUCCAGUCAGGAGACGGGGAUCCAAGUGAGGACCCGAGAAGGUAGCAGAAUAAUGGUUUCGAGCAGGGUGGAAAUUAUUAGAGGAAACCGUUUAAGGGGCAGGAAAAUAUUGUGAGGCAUGAAAGUGUCGUUCACCCGCUUACAGAGGCGCUGAGAGGCGGAGGAUUAUCGACCAAUUUAGACGCUGUCUGGGACUCCAAGAGAAUAGAAUCUCCUUGUGGUCUACUCCAGGAAAACUGAAAGAUAAAUGAAAUGAGGGUUCAACCUUUUCUUACCUUACCGUAGCCUCCGCCUCGCUUUCAACCCCCAAGUCUCCUAGUGUGAGGAAGGUUCCGGACCAGGCUUAUCAAAGUUUUGGCUUUGUUGCAAAAAAUGGUCAAGAUUUAAUGUUCCUCUGGUGAAAAGUGUGCAUACUGUGAUUUAUGUCGGCCCAAGAAAUACAUAAACAUGCUGUUCUCCCUCCUAUCAUUAGCAGAAGUGACAAGGAAUUUUUGGAAAGUAUGCAAAGAUACAUAAUUACAGAAACUGAAAGAGCGGGCUGUAAUGAGAAAGGGCCUGCUGAUGAAUAUUAUAUCAUAUACAGAAAUGUUUUCGAUAAGGUCAUAGAGUAUGUUACCGCAUAUAAAUCCAUUCUUACUUCAAUCAAAAAAGAAUAUGAUGCCUUUAUUGAGACAAUGAAGAAAAGCCAGAGAACUGCAUUUUAUCUCCAUGGGAAACUUAAGGCUUUGGCAGCAGGGCCUACAGCUUUGGUAUAUCACCAGAGAAGAACAAUCCAACUGAAGGAAAAAAUAAGGAUUAUUAAAAAUAAUUCCUUGAAGAUUCAAUUGCAAAUAAAUCAACUGAAACAGCUUAGGGCAGAGUAUGAUGUGAAAGAAGUAAAAUACUGUACUUUCAUCAAAAAUCCUGCAAAACCUAUUCCAGGUAUGACUCUCCAUGAAUCUGUCAAUUUAGAUGCUCUCAGUAAAUAUAUGAAACAUCUUGAAGAUAAGUAUGCAGAAAUUAAACAAGCCAUGUCAAUAAACUAUGUACCAGCUCAAAAGAAGGCUGAUUUAGAUAAGGAAAUGAUUGUGUUAUUAAAAAGGCGAGAUGUAGCUGAAAGUCUGAACAAAGAAUUACAGUUUCGUUAUCAAAGACUACAGAUUGUUUCACAUGCACUUACUUCAUGGGUAAAAUCUGAUAUGAGCAGCUCAUUUCAAGACUUCGUGGACCAAAUUCAGAAAACCAAAGGUUCAAGUGUAUUUACAGGUGACCAAGGCAUUGUUGAAGAACUGCUUGAAGAUGAUCCAAGCAGGGCAAAAGAUGCUGAAAUUGUGCUGUACUACAUUGAAAGGUUCAAUGAAUUAAUCUCACUUGGUGAAUAUGAAAAGGCAGCUUGUUUUGCAGCAAAUAGUCCUAGAAGAAUUCUUCGAAACAUGAAUAUAAUGAACAAAUUUAAAGCUGUUGGGAAAAUAAGAGGAAAGCCUCUUCCAUUACUCUUAUUUUUUGAGGCUAUAUUUAGCACAAGUCAUGCUUUUAGAUAUCCUGUUGAUGCAUAUCUAACUUUGGAAGGAAUCAAAUGUGGACUGUCUGAAAAAAGGUUUGAUUUAGUUAUCAACUGGGUCACCCAAGAAAAGUUAACAUUUUCUGAGGAGGCUGGUGAUGUGAUUAGUGAUUAUGGGGAGCAGGAUACUUUUAACAAGGCCAAGUGUUUGGCUUUAGCUCAAAUUAUCUACAGCAAAUGUGGCCUUCAUAAGAAAGCUCUUCUUUGCCUGUGCAAACAGGGUCAGAUUCAUAGGGCCAUGGAAUACCUACAGCAGUUUAAAGACUUUACUUCAGGUGACCUGAUGCAGCUAAUAACAUUAUGUCCCCAAGCUGAACUAAUUCAUUCUCUCACUAAAGAAAGCAAUGGGAAACCACCAUUUUUAUCUUUUGGGCUUAUUAUACUUCAUCUGUUCUCUGGAAAUAUGGAAGAAGUUGGCAUUAAACUACUUAAAGAAAUAAAUAAAGGUGGGAAAGAUGCAAUAGAACAUCUUAUGAUGAGUGAUUCAUUUUGCUCGCUAGAAACAUGGCAAGACAUGGCAGAUAUAUGUUUACAGAAUGGCUUUAACAAAUUAUCUAAUGACAUCAUGUCCAUUCUUCGAUCUCAGGCUGGAGUUUCAGAAAUUUCUGAAGAAGAUGAAAAAGUGAACCUAAUGGAACAUGUUUUUUGGUAGCUCUAUAUUUUAACCAGUUGAGGGAGCUUGUACAACAUUGUCCAUAUAUUGGUUGAGCAAACUGGUUUUGGCAUGAUAAUAAAUAAAACCAGCAUAUAAAGCUCUCAGAACUAAAUAACAGCAGUUUUGUUAUGAUGAUAUUUAGGUUUGUCCUUGAAACAUUUAUAUUAUUGCUUUAUUUUUCCAGUAUGGUCAUUUCUUAUAUUGAAUUUUGAUAAAAUCCAAAUUAUAACUUAGUGUAAAAUUGUAUAGGUAUUUUAAGGACAUAAGCUAAUGUCUAGAUACAUUCUUUUCUGGUAAUUUAAUUUGAUGGUAAGAACUGAAGAAGGCGAGCAUAGUAUUUUUCCUUUAGGCUGCCCAAAUAACAAAUUCUACACACUUGCCUUGAGAAGAAAGGUAGAUUUAUUUCAAGGUUAAUUUCUGGAAAAACCUAGAGUGUAGUAAUUUUUUACUGCUGAUUUAAAGGUGUGUCCUAUGCUUUGGCAUAUAUAAAUAUGGCAAAGGUUAGGUUUCUACUGAAAUUGGAAUUCUUGGCUUGUUCUUUAGAGGGAGGAACCAGCCAAAUUUUGCAUAGAAGUUGACCUGGAAUACCUCUAGGUACAAAAGAAAUAUGUAUGUCAUAAAAGUUGUUUUUUAUUAUUUCAAGUGUCUGAAUAAAUAUUUAAUUAAAAACUCAGAGUUCUGUGCCAUCGACAAGUGUGAUAUCCAAAAUAUAUAAGUAUGGCAUGGACACCAAUCAAGCAGAACAGAUGCUUAAUUAAUCAGAACAGCUUUCAGUCCUUAUGUCACAUCAGAACACACAAGCUAAUGUCAGCCUUGAUGAAGGGUAAAAAUGAGCCACUGUUAAGAUAGAAAAAGCAAAAAGCAUAUAUUUUCCUUCCUAAAUUUAAAUUGAAAGUGAAUUUUUUAUAAUGGAAAGAAUAUGGACUUGGAGUCAGAUAGCCUUAUAUAAAAAUUCUGGUACACUCUUACUCAUUUGUGAAAUAUAGGUGGUAAUAGCUACCCUAGGUUUAUGAAGGGUACUGCUAAUGUAUGUGAAGUGUAAAUGUAUCACAUAAUGGAGGAAUUUAGUAGAAGAUGACUGUUAUUUCUGUGUAGGAGGACGCAGAAACAAAUAUUCCUCUGCCUACUCUACACUUAUGAAAUCCUACAUUUUUACUCAUUUGUAUGAUAUAAUGGUACUUAUUUGGAGUAUUUGAUAUAUUGGUAUAACUUACUGCCUAUUUUAAGCUAUCUGAGCUCAUUUUAUGUUUCCCUGCCAUAUAUUAUAAAUCUAGAAGUAUACUGGCUGAGAUUAAUUUUUCCAUGUAGUGCUAAACACAGUCCUGGAUAGUUAUACUUCAGUUUUCUAAAACUUAAAAUUUUUACUAAAGUAAUAUACAUGCAAAAUUUAAAAGCCAAUAUAUUACUAAGAUGCUUAUGAUAACUAAUAACAUUUUUAUUUCUAACCUUUUAUCUUAGCUGUGAUUAAAAAAAGAACACAGAUGAGGCCGGGUAUUUAGUUUAGUGGCACAGCGCCUGCCUCUCAAGCGCAAGGACAUAAUUACUUAAGGCAGCUUUCCCAAGGAAAGUGAAAGUUGUCAAGUGAAUAUGAAUUAAAAUGCCUGGAAUAGGGAGGAAGAACAAGAACAUAACGGCAAGUGGGGAAGGAGGAAGAAUUGAGUUUUGAGCUGCAUAGGGCUUGGAAGAUGUAACAACCUUCCUGUAAUCUAUGGUGAAAGAAACAUAACAAGGGCCCAGCGUAGAUGCCUGUAAUACAGACCAGGACUAACACUAUUGAGUUUUAUGUCCUGGUAUGUUAUACUGGCAUUAUCAUUUGAUUCUAGGAGCUGUCAAAUUUCUUCCUGGAUUUCUUCUGUGAUCCAUUGAUACUGUUUAAUUUCCAUGCAUUUGCAUAAUUUCUGUGGAUUUUUUUUGCGAUUGAUUUCUAGUUUCAUUGUGCUAUAAUCUGAUAAUAUGCAUGGGAUAAUUUUAUUUCUUUUGCAUUUACUUAAGCAUGCUUUAUGGGCUAGUGUAUGGUCUAUUUUGGAGAAAGUUCCGUAUGCUGCUGAGAAAAAAUGUGUAUUCUGUUGUUGAGUAGAACACUCUGAGAUGUCUAGUAAGUCCAUUUGUUCUGAGGUUUUGGUUCAACUCUGAUACUCUUCGUUAAUUUUUUAUCUAGUUGAUCUAAUUGUGCUGAUGGAGUAUUAAGGUUCUCCACUGUAAUUGCGUUGAUUUUUUUAAUUUUUUAUGUCCAUAGUGUUUGUUUUAUGAAUUUGGAUGUGACUGUUUGAUACAUAUAUGUUUAUAAUUGUUAUCCUGUUGAACUGUUCCUUAAAACAAUAUGUAGUGACUUUUCUUUGCCUCUUCUGAUUGGUUUUGGCUUUAAGUCUACUUUAUUGGAAAAUGGGAUAGUAAAUCCUGCUGGUUUUUUGGGUUCUUAUUGCAUGGAAUAUUGCUUUCCAUCCUUUGAUUUUUAGUCUAUAGAUUUCUUUUUGGGGUUGAACGUGUUUUUUGUAUAUAGCAUACUAUUGGAUUUGUUUCUUGAUCCAUUCUGCUAAUCUGUGUCUUUUGAUUAGAUAAUUGAGACCAUUCACACUGAGAGUUAUUACUGAAAGGUAUUGACUUAUUCUUGUCAUUGCCCAAUUUCCCUGUUGCUGAUUCCCUUAUUGUUUCUCUCCUACUUAGCUGCUCACCCUGCCUAGUGUACAGUAUUUGUUCAGUUAGCUCUGGGCAUUUUCUAUAAUGUGUCAUGAUGUUCUUUUCUGAUUGUGGCUACGUAGGUUUCUAUAUGCCUUGGAUGACAGUAUUGUUAAUGACACAAAGGCAAUCCAGAUAUUGGCAUACAGAGAAAAUCAAUUAACAGCAAUAACUAUACCUCCUUGGCAAUAGCAAUAAAAAUCAGCAAUAAUAAUAUCAUCAAAGAUAAACUGGACAUUGAUAUACCCUACGAACCAGUAAUAUUAACCAUAGAAAAGAGAUCUAUAGUUACUGAUUAAACACUAAGACAAACCAAAUAUUGACACACCAUAAAUAUCUACGACUUGCAACAACUGUAUAUCUCCACUAACAAUAAAACAGUAUUCAACAGUAAUAGCAUAGAGCUAAUUAACUAUCUAAAGAGUCAUAAAGCUUAAUGGUUACACUAGUGAGAAUAAAAGGGGUGGGGAACUAGAGAAUGAAGAGUAGAAUUUGAAAAAUUAAUCAGUGAAAGAUGAGAAGGAGGAGAAAAAAGUGAGAUAAAGAAUCCUGUUGAGUACUGAUAGUAUUGAUCAAAUUAAUAGUAUUGAUUAAGAAAAA